rnacentral:snoRNA from 1 species
GAGGGGUGAUGAUGCUGAGAACGGUUUCGCUAAGUGAACUGAGAACGUGUGAUGUCACACUCUCUCUUGGCUGUCUGACCAA